rnacentral:rRNA from 1 species
CAGGUAGGACUACCCGCUGAACUUUAGCAUAUC